CAAACACCGAAUGACUACAUGUUGUCUUUCAGGCUCAAGGGUUUCUGAUUGUAAUCACUGAUGACUGAGGCCACUGACAUAAAGCGUGGCCUCAGGACGGUGCUCCUCUGUGUGGUGUUAUUCAGGGCAUUUGCACUCCCACGUCUGGCAUCAGAGCUGGGAUGCCUGAAAUGGCUGGAGGCAGACUGAGCGUGGCUCCCAACAGGGGCAGCGCUCCAAAGAAAUCAGCAGCUUGCAAGCAGAUAAUUCAUUUUAAGGAAGGGUGAGAUGAGACUGAAAAGGAAGUCCACCAUGGCAGACCAUCUACGUCAGUUUGCAAGGAAAAAAAUCAAAUUUUGCUCAUGCCCUAACUUAAGAAAGCCAAUGGUUAACAGCAAAACAAUAGCCACUUCAUAGACAUCUCAACUGGUUCAGCUAACACAAGCCUGACUGGAAAAUUAAAGUGGAGCAAACUGUCUGCUCGAUGGAGGCCAAGACAAUUACACUCAGGUCAGCUGCAGACAAAAGCAGAGCUUUCAAUGUACACUUGAAACAAGUGGGAUCAAGACCUGAAGCAUUUCCCUGAAGAAUUGUAGUGAAAGACGAAACACGGUUUUCCGAGUUAGAACUUGAAGACAAAGCACAAUCAACACAGCGGCUACCAAUAGGAGGAAGUGGCGCAGUCACAGCAAGAGCAGAUUGGUCCACAGGAAAGGUUGAGUUUUAGGAUGCCCAAAGCAUUCUGCUUGUUGACCAUUUGGAGAACCAAAGAUGAUAAAAUCUGCUCUUUGGCAGUGUUUUAAGAAUGCUACAGAUAAAGGAUUAAUAACCAGAAUCUACAAUGAAAUCAACAAAACAAACAACCCACUUGAGAGAUGGGCCAAGGACCUCAGUGGACAUUUUUCAAAAGAGGAAAUCCAAAUGGCCAACAGGCACAUGAAAAAAUGUUCAGGAUCACUAGCAAUCAGAGAAAUGCAAUUAAAACCACAAUGAGGUUUCACCUCACCCCGGUGAGAAUGGCUCACAUCCAGAAAUCUACCAACAACAGAUGCUGGCGAGGAUGUGGGGAAAAAGGGACACUAACCCACUGUUGGUGGGAAUGCAAA